AGAGGCCGAAGUCCAUGAAGACGCGGUCGGUGACGAUGCCGGACUGCGGCUGGGCGGGGGAAGGGGCCGGUGCGAGGGCAGGGGCGUCGGUGUCGGCGGCGCCGGGUUGGGGGAAGAGGAGGAGGGAUGCAGCGGCAGCGGCGGCGGCGGCGGCGGAGGAGGAGGAGGAGAGGAGGAAGGAGCGGCGGCGGAGGAAUGCAUUGGGUUUAGGGCUCCGGGAGAGGUGGGCUUGGGGGACGAGGGGGCAGAGGCGGCGACGGAGGUGAGGCGGCGAGGCGGCGGCGACGGAGGCUGACGAAGCCAUGGAGUUGCUAUUUCCCGGCCACGUG
rnacentral:lncRNA from 1 species